UGGGGAAUAUUGCACAAUGGGGGAAACCCUGAUGCAGCGACGCCGCGUGGAGGAAGAAGGUUUUCGGAUUGUAAACUCCUGUCGUUAGGGACGAUAAUGACGGUACCUAACAAGAAAGCACCGGCUAACUACGUGCCAGCAGCCGCGGUAAAACGUAGGGUGCAAGCGUUGUCCGGAAUUACUGGGUGUAAAGGGAGCGCAGGCGGGAAGACAAGUUGGAAGUGAAAACCAUGGGCUCAACCCAUGAAUUGCUUUCAAAACUGUUUUUCUUGAGUAGUGCAGAGGUAGAUGGAAUUCCCGGUGUAGCGGUGGAAUGCGUAGAUAUCGGGAGGAACACCAGUGGCGAAGGCGGUCUACUGGGCACCAACUGACGCUGAGGCUCGAAAGCAUGGGUAGCAAACAGGAUUAGAUACCCUGGUAGUCCAUGCCGUAAACGAUGAUUACUAGGUGUUGGGGGAUUGACCCCCUCAGUGCCGCAGUUAACACAAUAAGUAAUCCACCUGGGGAGUACGACCGCAAGGUUGAAACUCAAAGGAAUUGACGGGGGCCCGCACAAGCAGUGGAGUAUGUGGUUUAAUUCGAAGCAACGCGAAGAACCUUACCAGGUCUUGACAUCCGAUGCAUAACACAGAGAUGUGUGAAAUCCUUCGGGACAUCGAGACAGGUGGUGCAUGGUUGUCGUCAGCUCGUGUCGUGAGAUGUUGGGUUAAGUCCCGCAACGAGCGCAACCCUUAUUGCCAGUUACUACGUUAAGAGGACUCUGGCGAGACUGCCGUUGACAAAACGGAGGAAGGUGGGGAUGACGUCAAAUCAUCAUGCCCUUUAUGACCUGGGCUACACACGUACUACAAUGGCGUUAAACAAAGAGAAGCAAGACCGCGAGGUGGAGCAAAACUCAAAAACAACGUCUCAGUUCAGAUUGCAGGCUGCAACUCGCCUGCAUGAAGUCGGAAUUGCUAGUAAUCGUGGAUCAGCAUGCCACGGUGAAUACGUUCCC
rnacentral:rRNA from 1 species